AGAAUUUAAUCUUUGUGAUACAAUACCAGAACAACAAAGUCGUUAUUAAUCAGCACAUGUCAUGUUGAUAUUUGUUUUUCAAGGAAGAAGCAAAGAAAGGUGGAAGAAGACUCUGUGUAUGCGAAGGUUUCCAAGCCAACACGAGUUAAAAAGAAGGAACCAGAGAUCCUGCAGGACUAUGAAAACAUUAGUGAUGCAGCUGCACGUACACCAACAUCUUCAAAUCUAUUUGACGACCACACCAGUGAAGGUGAAGUGGAACUGAACUUUCCACAGGUGAGAUUCACAGCGACGCCCCGACAUCAGACGACCAACAGAGACUCCAGCAGCUCACACCAAGAUGAGAGUCUUUACUCUAACGUCAGGAUUUGACCCGAGAUGUUCUCGUCCUGCUUUUUACAGCUACCUCGGGCCUGAGGAAGUUUAUAUUCACAAUAAGUCAUCACAGAGAGUCUGAAGAGUUCAUGUGUUAAACCGUGUUGCCAUUAGGAAUAUUUUAAAAGAAGUUAGCAAGAAGGCACAGAAGUUACAUUACUUUUUUGGAAAUAUUUUAUUUUCAGUUUUAUAUGUAAUGUGUACAAACAAACAUAUCAGUAUACAAACAGUAUAGAGACAUAACAAAGGACAACAAAGGACAAAGUGCCCCCCGCCCCCCUUAAAAAAAAAAAAAAAAAAAAAAAGGUCAGUGUUCAAGGUCAAUACAAACAACUACAUUAAGUAUUUGGUGUAAGAGAUGUACCAAUAUGGUCUAAAUAUGGCUGCCAAAUUUUCAAAAAGGUGUUAUAUCGUUUUCUGAGACAAUAAGUGAUUUUUUCCAGGGGGAUGCAACUAUUCAUCUCAACAGACCACCUGUCAAUAAGAAGAGGGGAGUCAGAUUUCCAUGACACUGCAAUGCACUUCUUAGCCACACAUAGAGCAACUUCAAUGAAUUUGAGUUGUGCAUUGGUUAGAGAACGGCGAAUACUUGUUAAGUUCCCCAAUAAACAAAAUUCAGGGUCCACUGGAAUAUUUACUCCCGUGAUCCUGGUUAAAGUGGAGCAGAUAUCAUGCCAGAAAGGCCUAACUUUCAUACACAGCCAGGUACAAUGCAAAAAGGAACCAACUUCAGUAUCACAUCUAAAGCACAUUUCUGACAGGUUAGAUUUGAAUGAGUGUAAUUUUUCUGGGGUAAAAUAUAAUUGAUGUAGAGUAUUAUAGUUAAUCAAUCUGUAACGGGCAUUGAUAAUAGUUGACAAGCUGUUUUGACAUAGUUCUGUCCAAAGUUGUUCUUCAAUUGUAACAUUGAGAUCUGACUCCCACUUCAUUCUAGACUUAUGCACACCUGGUUUUGGGCCUUCAUUCAACAAUAGGCGGUACAUUUUAGAAAUAAAUUUAUGUGUGUUCCCAUCACAAAGAAAUCUUUCAACAUCAUUCAUAACAGUAAUUUCAGGACCCAAAUUAGCCCUCAAAAAGGAUCUUAAUUGGAGAUAACAGAAAAAGGUCUGAUUGGGCAAACUAUAUUUCCUCUUCAGGUGUUCAAAUGGCAUGAAAAGUCUUUUGUCGAAGCAAUCUUUCAAGUGUUGGAUUCCCUUAUGGUGCCAUCUGUCCAGAAUCUUAUUAUCAAGAGUCAUGGGUAUAAGUUCAUUUUGCUUUAAAGGUGUUUUAGGUGACAGCCCCACCCUCAAUCCAAGACCUUUGUGAACCUCAUACCACAUUUUUAUCAGAUGCCUCAAUAUAGGGUUAUCUGUCCUGUUGUUUACAGUUCUAGAAUUGUGCUUAUAAAAGAAGUCACUGCGGACCUUUUCAUUCAGGGGGUGCAAUCCGAUUUGUGUCCAAGAAGGGGCGUCGCUGCCCUCAAAAAAGGCUGAGAUGAACCUCAGUUGAGCUGCCAGGUAGUAGUUUUUAAAACUUGGCAGUCGAAGUCCCCCCGAGCCAUAGUCCCAUGUUAGCUUCUCCAUAGAUAUCCGGGGUGUUUUACAAUUCCAUAAAAAUUGCCUGACGUAUCUAUUGAGAGCUUUGAAGAAUGAUUUUGGCAAUGGAAUGGGUAGGGAUUGAAACAGAUAUUGCAAUCUCGGUUGUAUAUUCAUUUUAAUACAACUCACUCUUCCAAUCAAAGUGAGAGGCAAGCCCAUCCAUCUACGUAAAUCAUCUUCAAUCCUACUGAGCAGUGGGAGGUAAUUCAGUUUGUACAGGUUUUUGAGGUUGUUGUCUACAAAUAUACCAAGGUAUUUUAUACCAUCCAUAGGCCAUCUAAAUUGACUUGUUCGCUGGAGUUCGGAGUGAUCAAAAUUUGUCAAUGGAAUAAUUUCACUUUUUUCCAAAUUCACCUUAUAGCCUGAAACACUACUAUAAGUAGUUAAUACAGUUUGUAAUUUGGAAAGAGAGUUAUCAGGGUCUUUUAAGUACAGAAUAACAUCAUCUGCAAACAAAUUAAUUUUAUGAACUGCCUGACCCACCUGAAAGCCUUUUAUAUCAGGAUCUUCUCUAAUUGCUUCAGCCAAAGGCUCAAUUGCUAAGACAAAAAGUGCUGGAGACAAAGGGCAUCCCUGUCGACUUGAUCUGCUUAAAGGGAAUGUAGAUGAAAUCUGUCCAUUGGUGCUGAUUUUUGCCUGGGGUUUAUGAUAUAGAGUUUGAACCCAACUAAUAAAUAAUUGACCGAACCCAAACUUGGCUAACACUUUAAAUAAGUAUGGCCACUCUAGCCUAUCAAAGGCCUUCUCAGCAUCUAAAGCCACAGCUAUACUGGGUUCCUUUUCAGAUUUUGUUAAGUGAACAAUAUUAAAAAGCCUACACAGGUUAUUAGCUGAGGAACGCUUUGAAAUAAAGCCACACUGGUCUGGAUUUAUUAGUUGCGGCAGGUAUUGGCCGAGUCUGUUAGCCAGGGCCUUGAAAAUUAAUUUAUAAUCUGUAUUUAACAAUGAAAUCGGCCAAUAUGAAGAGCAUUUCAAAGGAUCUCUACUUUUUUUGUGAAUAACAGUAAUUAUGGCUGUAGAGAAUGACUCAGGGAGUGUUGAAGUUACAUUACUGAGCUAAAAUAUAACAUAUCAAUAUUUAAAACUGUUAAUUAAAGGUUCUGGAGAAAAUAGUGAACAAAGCUAAAUGUGAGGGAUAAACGGUUAAAAUCCUUAUUUUGAAACUUAAAAUGUAAAUAAUGUGAGUGUAAAAUGAUUGUAUUAAUAACUUUUUAUAUAAUCUAUAUAUACAUAAAUUACAUGCAGUUAGACAAGAAAUGCUGAGAAUCACUUCUGAAUUAUUUUUUUUGUGCUUUCCAGUGUUGUGAACUUAAUCCAAACGCACACACCUGAAAUGUAAAUAUCCUGUUGCUCAAAAUAAAAUGAAAUAUGUUGGAACAAA